UAAGAACUGUUAGCUUUGAAGUACUUGUGAUUUUUUUAUUUCUUGUAUGAAAAUAGGUACUCAUAAGUGUUCUCUAUUUCACAGAUAUCGAUCAUGAGAAUAGGUUACCGCCAGAAGCUGUGGGUACUGCAGAACUCAUCCUUUCAAUAGACAAGCUAUUGGAUAGUCUUAACAGCAAUACUAAAUUGGCUCCGAGUGGCAAACCAUUGAAAGGAGGUGUGACUAAUGGAUCGUGUCACCAAGAGUUCUGGAGGAAUUCUAUUACAUGCCUGAAGAGCAUGAAAUAUUUUUCAAAUGAAAAGAACUGCCUGGUUUCAGUGCCCUCCUUGAAACAUUUAAUUUUCACAGUAAGAGGAUUCAUGAGGGUUACGAAAAAUCUGUUGUCGAAACAUAAAUUCAAUUAUGUUUUGACAAGAGCAUUGAAUCAAAACCCUCUUGAAAAUUGUUUUGGAGCAAUUAGAAGCCAUGGAGGCAGGCAUGCUUCUCCAGAUGCCUCCUAUUUCGAAAGCUCCUUUAAAGCCUUACUGGUCAAUAAUUUUUUGUCACACCAUUGUCUGAAUGCAAAUUGUGAGUGAUUUUUCAGAAGGCGCUCUUAAUAAUUUGAGCGAAUUCCUGAUUGGGAAUAUGGAAGGUGAGGCUGGACCCUCCAGGGAGACACCUCCUAUUCCUACUCUCCCACUAAAUGUAUCUCUGACUCGAAAGUCGAGAGUAGCAGAGAACAUAUUGAUGUACAUGAGCGGAUAUUUCGCGAAACGCCUCUCGAAAACUUUGACAUGUUCUGACUGUAAACAACUUUUACUAUCAAACCAUGAGCUUGUUCAAAAUACAGAUUUCAUCGAGGCUAGAAAAUAUAGAGCAGAUUCAAAAAUGGUGGUACCAGGUAGUUUUUUUCAUCAUCUAGUGUUUUUCACGUUUGUAUUAUCUUAUUCCACGCUUAUGCCACUUUGAGAAUGUAGGAGGCCAGUUCACUGUCAGUUACAUUCUGACUCAGGAACUGCUGCCUGUAAUUUAUUUGUAAAAUGUAGUUUGUAUUUUUGGUGUAAACGUGUUAAUGCAAUUGUGAAGGGCAACAUACAAAAUAAAUAAA